rnacentral:antisense_RNA from 1 species
CUUCACGGAGCCGAGCCACAGGGGGCGGUCGGACGGGCGGCCCUUGCCGUAGGUAGCGAGGAGGGCCUGCGCCUC